rnacentral:misc_RNA from 1 species
AGCAGCCGCGGUAAUUCCAGCUCCAAUAGCGUAUAUUAAAGUUGUUGCAGUUAAAAGCUCGUAGUUGAAUUUCGGGAUUAAUAUGUUGGUCGUGCCUUGGUACGUACUGGCAUUAUCGAUUCCUACCUUCUGAAGAACCUCGAUGUCAUUAAUUUGGUGUCUUGGGGAAUCAGGACCGUUACUUUGAAAAAUUAGAGUGUUUAAAGCAGGCUCGCGCUUGAAUACAUUAGCAUGGAAUAAUGAAAUAGGACGUUUGAUUCUAUUUUGUUGGUUUCUAGGAUCGACGUAAUGAUUAAUAGGGAUAGUUGGGGGCAUUAGUAUUCAAUUGUCAGAGGUGAAAUUCUUGGAUUUAUUGAAGACUGACUACUGCGAAAGCAUUUGCCAAGGAUGUUUUCAUUAAUCAAGAACGAAAGUUAGGGAUCGAAGACGAUCAGAUACCGUCGUAGUCUUAACCAUAAACUAUGCCGACUAGGGAUCGGAUGAUGUUAAUUUUUUAAUGACUCAUUCGGCGUCCG